rnacentral:rRNA from 1 species
GACGAACGCUGGCGGCGUGCCUAAUACAUGCAAGUCGAGCGCAGGAAACUGACGGAACUCUUCGGAGGGAAGGCAGCGGAAUGAGCGGCGGACGGGUGAGUAACACGUAAGGAACCUGCCUCAAGGAUUGGGAUAACUCCGAGAAAUCGGAGCUAAUACCGGAUAGUUCAUCGGACCGCAUGGUCCGUUGAUGAAAGGCGCUUCGGCGUCACCUUGAGAUGGCCUUGCGGUGCAUUAGCUAGUUGGUGGGGUAACGGCCCACCAAGGCGACGAUGCAUAGCCGACCUGAGAGGGUGAUCGGCCACACUGGGACUGAGACACGGCCCAGACUCCUACGGGAGGCAGCAGUAGGGAAUCUUCCACAAUGGACGAAAGUCUGAUGGAGCAACGCCGCGUGAGUGAUGAAGGUUUUCGGAUCGUAAAACUCUGUUGUAAGGGAAGAACACGUACGAGAGGGAAUGCUCGUACCUUGACGGUACCUUACGAGAAAGCCACGGCUAACUACGUGCCAGCCGCCGCAGUAAAAC